CAGUCGCCACGGUAAAACGUAGGGCGCAAGCGUUAUCCGGAAUUAUUGGGCGUAAAGAGCUCGUAGGCGGUUUGUCGCGUCUGCCGUGAAAGUCCGGGGCUCAACCCCGGAUCUGCGGUGGGUACGGGCAGACUAGAGUGAUGUAGGGGAGACUGGAAUUCCUGGUGUAGCGGUGAAAUGCGCAGAUAUCAGGAGGAACACCGAUGGCGAAGGCAGGUCUCUGGGCAUUAACUGACGCUGAGGAGCGAAAGCAUGGGGAGCGAACAGGAUUAGAUACCCCAGUAGUCCCUGUCUCUUAUAC
rnacentral:rRNA from 1 species